GUACGUCUAUACUACCCGCCGGAUUGGCUAGUAGUGUUCGAUGUAUCGGGGAUCGAUUUAUCACGUCUCAUCUGGACCUGAAAUCGAUCCCCAAAUCGACACCCGUACUCCACGUCGGCAGGAGGAGUAAGCAGAGUCGACAGGGGAGCCGCGGCAGUCGACUCGCUGCCAUGAGGACAGCCAGGGGCAGAGGUGGAGUUUCUUACCCGCACAGAUAUUUUUACGACCUCAGUUAUGUGCUUUUUUAGAUCUUGAAAUGACUCAUCUUAACUGUGGCUGGAUUGACUUUGAGCAUUUGAGCAAUUUCUUCUGGACUGACCCAAGGGCUCUGUCCAGGCAGAAGUCAGGUCUGUCCUAAACAAAGGAAGGAAUGUGUGCUUGCCUUAAUUUGCAUUUAAGCAGUAAAGAGUCCUCAAGCAGGAAAGGAAAACAAAGGAAGUUCAAACAGGUGGAAAAAACAGCAGAGGGUCUCAGAUGGAAAUUGUUUCAAGAGGGGGGACUGAAACUAUAAUAAGGAGGGAACAACACCCCAAAGCACCCCUCUCUCUCCCUCCCUCCACCUCAUUCUCUAUACCUGAGAAGACAAAAGGAAAUGCACAGAGCCAUUGGACUCUGUGGGAGGGCUCCUGGCCUGAGAGUUUCAUCAGUAAUCUGCUGGAGCAUGU